AUUGAACGCUAGCGGCAGGCUUUACACAUGCAAGUCGAACGAGUGGCGGACGGGUGAGUAAUGUAUGGGAACCUGCCCGAUGGAGGGGGAUAACUACUGGAAACGGUAGCUAAUACCGCAUACCAUCGGAUGUGCCCAUAUGGGAUUAGCUAGUAGGUGGGGUAACGGCUCACCUAGGCAACGAUCCCUAGCUGGUCUGAGAGGACGACCAGCCACACUGGAACUGAGACACGGCCCAGACUCCUACGGGAGGCAGCAGUGGGGAAUAUUGCACAAUGGGCGAAAGCCUGAUGCAGCCAUGCCGCGUGUAUGAUGAAGGCCUUCGGGUUGUAAAGUACUUUCAGCAGGGAGGCGUUACCCGCAGAAUAAGCACCGGCUAACUCCGUGCCAGCAGCCGCGGUAAUUC
rnacentral:rRNA from 1 species